AAGGUUUUAUGUUAAUCAAACAUAUAGCCUUCAAAGCUAUCCAUAAAAGUUUUACUCUUUUAAGCCUUA
rnacentral:tRNA from 1 species